rnacentral:tRNA from 1 species
UAGGGUGUACCAAUGGGAGUAUGGUGAAAUCGGUAGACACAAGGGAUUUAAAAUCCCUCGGCUUAUAGCUGUACGAGU